rnacentral:lncRNA from 1 species
GGCAUUGAAAGUUCGCUAGGCCGGACAGAUCGUCGUGUUUGAGUUACGGUCUCGUCACAUAGUUCACGGGCUGAAAUGGCUCCACGAUUGAGAUCGUGGAGCAGGACAGAACUUGCACAAUUCUUUGCUUCAGGUACCCUUUAAGAUGAUGGAGUAGUUCGUGGAGAUGAUCAAUAUUGUGGAGUCGGACAAACUUUGCUCUAAAUUUUGCCGACAUGGAAUAUUUUUCAUGCACUUUUGUACCCCUAGUUUUGGCUCCACAAUUGACCUUUGUAGAGACAUGUAACGACCCCAUUAGUUAUUUUGGGUAAUUGCGUCUAGUUUGACAGUUUGAGGUCACGAGUAACUUCACAUAGUAUAAUAUGACUUGUGUACAUCAUCGGCUCGGGUUUUUGAGAAUAUUGGAAAGGAUUUUUAGAAGUGACUUUUAUUGGAGAAGAUUAAAUAGACCAAGAUUUGACUUUUGAGUAUUUGACUACGGAUUGGAAUUUCGAUGGCUCCGGUAGGCUCGAGUUUUGAAUUUUGCACUUAGGCUUAUGUCCGAAUUUGAAUUUGAAGGUCCAAUCCUAUACACUCUUUGUUUUCUGACUUUAUUCCUAUACGAUGUUUGGAUAAAAGGUUUGGGUGGAUUCUCUUUUUGCUCAGUAUCUUAAGAUUAAUUUUGUUCUUAGAGUAAUUUGCAUUGCUUGAUCUAGAAAGAAAUUAGCACGCUGUUUUAAUUUAAGGUGAAGCUAGAAAAUUCUUGAAUUACUCAUUUGCGCACUUUUUUUUAUCUUUCUUCAUGAUAAGUGAUUGCAUUUGUUUGUUGGUAGGUAUUUUUUCAUUUAGUCAAAUAUUUUUAAUUAAUUUGAAUCAAUUUAACUUAAGAUGCCAUCUGUUGUGAGUAUUUUGUUAAACAAAAUAUGGGUCUCUAUUCACUAAUAAACGUGAAUCUUAAAUGCAUCAGACUAUGGGAUUUAAGAUAUAAGUUA